AGUGAACGCUGGCGGUAGGCCUAACACAUGCAAGUCGAACGGCAGCACCGUAAGAGCUUGCUCUUACGGGUGGCGAGUGGCGGACGGGUGAGGAAUACAUCGGAAUCUACUUUUUCGUGGGGGAUAACGUAGGGAAACUUACGCUAAUACCGCAUACGACCUACGGGUGAAAGCAGGGGAUCUUCGGACCUUGCGCGAUUGAAUGAGCCGAUGUCGGAUUAGCUAGUUGGCGGGGUAAAGGCCCACCAAGGCGACGAUCCGUAGCUGGUCUGAGAGGAUGAUCAGCCACACUGGAACUUGGACACGGUCCAGACGCCUACGGGAGGCAGCAGUGGGGAAUAUUGGACAAUGGGGGCAAGCCUGAUCCAGCCAUACCGCGUGGGUGAAGAAGGCCUUCGGGUUGUAAAGCCCUUUUGUUGGGAAAGAAAAGCAGCAGGUUAAUACCCCGCUGUUCUGACGGUACCCAAAGAAUAAGCACCGGCUAACUUCGUG
rnacentral:rRNA from 1 species